GAAAACUGUAAUGAAGAGGAGAAGCUGUGAUGCAGGAACAUCUAGUGUAAAACUGAGAGCGGCCGGAUGUGGAUCCCUCUGUUGUCCCACAAGUGGCUGGAACCUCAAGUCUCUCGAAGUCUUCCGCCUCCCUUUGCUUUCCAACCCCACCGAUCCUCCAGUAUGCACCACAUGUACGAACACCAACCAGCCGAGAAAACUGGAACGAAGAGGAGAAGCUGUGAUGCAGGAACAUCUAGUGUAAAACUGAGAGCGGCCGGAUGUGGAUCCCUCUGUUGUCCCACAAGUGGCUGGAACCUCAAGUCUCUCGAAGUCUUCUGCCUCCCUUUGCUUUCCAACCCCAC